ACCACCAAGAUUAACUCAAAAGUAUAGAUAAUUUAGCAUUAAAUGAAUAACAAAACUAAAUCAUUUUUCCACCUUAGUACGGGAGACGGAAAAGGUAAUUUAAGCAAUAGAGAAAGUACCGCAAGGGAAAGCUGAAAGAGUAAUGAAAUAAUUCAUUUAAGCACAAAAAAGCAGAGCUUAACCCUUGUACCUUUUGCAUCAUGAUUUAGCCAGCACUACUCAAGCAAAGUGACCUUUAGUUUGAAACCCCGAAACCAAGUGAGCUACCCCGGGACAGCCUUAAAGGGCGAACCCGUCUCUGUGGCAAAAGAGUGGGAAGAGCCCCGGGUAGAGGUGAUAAACCUACCGAACUUGGUGAUAGCUGGUUGCCUGAGAAAUGAAUAGAAGUUCAGCCUCGUAUCCCUUUAGCCAACCAAGAAAUAUCUGAAUAAGCACAAAAGAGAAAUACGAGAGUUAGUUGAAGGGGGUACAGCCCCUUUAAUAAAGGACACAACCUUAAAUAGGUGGAUAAGAGUCACACUUUAUAAAACUAGUUGUUCCAGUGGGCCUAAAAGCAGCCAUCUGAGUAGAAAGCGUUAAAGCUCAAACAACAUGCAGUUUAUUAUACUGAUAAAUAACCCAACUCCCCUAAAAAUAUCAGGCCAUUCCAUGCCACCAUGGAAGAGACCAUGCUAAAAUGAGUAAUAGGAGGAUAUGAUCCUCUCCUAGCACAAGUGUAAGCCAGAUCGGACAAACCACUGGAAAUUAACGAGCCCAGAAAAAGAGGGUAAUGUGGCCAACAAGAAAAUCAGGAAGAUACCACAGCAUUUAUAUCGUUAAACCCACACUGGAGUGCCUCCAAGGAAAGACUAAAAGAAGGGGAAGGAACUCGGCAAACACAAGCCUCGCCUGUUUACCAAAAACAUCGCCUCCUGCAAAUCCCUACGUAUAGGAGGUCCAGCCUGCCCGGUGACUACAAGUUUAACGGCCGCGGUAUUUUGACCGUGCAAAGGUAGCGCAAUCACUUGUCUUUUAAAUGAAGACCUGUAUGAAUGGCUAAACGAGGGCUUAGCUGUCUCCCUUUUCAAGUCAGUGAAAUUGAUCUACCCGUGCAG
rnacentral:rRNA from 1 species